GAGAGUCAAAAAGACCGCGAAACCGUUAGGAGGGAAACGAAUGCAGCUGAAGUGGUUCCGUAUCAGGUUCAGGGGAUGUCGGAGGAUGUUCUGGGUCUGGGUAGCUUCGGCGUCCUGGCUUGGAUAGGCCGACGACUUCUCUGCACUCCUGUGGGGAGCCGGCCAACAGCAGUUGCUUCUGGCCCAGAAGGUCGGUUGGGAGGUACCUCCACACUCGUGUGGAGAACGUAUAGCCAUCCGGUCCGGCGGUCUGGGAGCGACUGAGGAGAGUCGUGAAUUUUCACGCGUGCAGCGCAGGCCCUUUUGGGCCGGGUCGCCUCUGUUCGUUUGGGCCCCGCGGUUGGGACUACUUGCAGUGUCGGCUGACGGUCAGUCUGCUCGGUCGGGGGAAUGGCCACGCCUUGCGCUCUAGUUGUUGGUGCUCAAAUGGCUGCAUCCGACCCGUCU
rnacentral:rRNA from 1 species